UCGUGGAUCUGGCUCCUCCAAGAACUUCUCGCCAGAGCCUGGCGGUAGAACUGGCCCAUCGUUGGUCACGGUCUCCCCAAAGCCAUCAGACUACAGGAUCUGCAAGCCCUUUCAAGCUCAGGAUGCUUCGACUCAAACCGAUAAUGAAGAGAAAAGGAGGAAAGAGGGAUCAAACACCAGGAUUAGGCUUCCAGAAAUUCAGCACAGUGAGAGCCAAAAUGAACAGACGAUGUGUUUGAAUCAAGAGCCUGAGAUCGUUAAAGUAGAGAGUUCACCACCACCACCAACAUUUGCAAGUGUUCCCUCUUCUUCUUGUGGAAAGACGAAUACCCUGGAAUCCUUGAUAAGAGAAGAAGCAAAUAAAAGGAACAACUUAAGGAAUAUGGAGGCCGAGGAUGUCUUCCUCCCGACUGGGCCAAAAUCGAAAGCCACAAAUAUGCUCAUCCACCUGAUUACUUGUGGUUCCAUCUCUGUGAAAGACCGCUACAGCUUCGGAUUUGUGCCAACUUAUAGGCCAAGGUUUGGUGAUAACAAGUUCACCUCACCAAUGUUUGCCAACUCAAUUGUUCCGGAUGGCAUCGACUGCUUGCUAG
rnacentral:lncRNA from 1 species